rnacentral:lncRNA from 1 species
AAGGACAGAAAAAUGACUCUAAAGUCUCUCUUAGAAGAAGCGAUAUAGAUGGAAAGAACAUACAGAGAUUGUGAGCGUCAUCAUAUAAACAGUCGUCAUGGAUCAUAGAACCGAGCAUAGUGAAAGAAGAGAACGUGGUAGAAGAGAUGAUGAUGACUUUGGCCAAUGCCGUGAUCGUGACCAUAAUAGGUGAUUGUUCUUGAAUUGAAAUCAUCUUUUCAGUUUAGAGACUCCUUUCUCGAUUGUAUGGAAGGUACUGAUUUGGAUUUUUUUUUUUCUAGGCUUAGAGAUGAUCGAGGAGAUAGAAGUAGUCGUCGGAUUGAAGUUAGAGUUUCAAUUUUUAGUUUUUUUUUUUU